rnacentral:rRNA from 1 species
GCUUACGCCAUACCACCCUGAACACGCCCGAUCUCGUCGAUCUCGAAGCUAAGCAGGGUCGGGCCUGGUAGUACUUGGAUGGGAGACCGCUGGGAAUACCAGGUGCUGUAAGCU